AGUGAACGCUGGCGGUAGGCCUAACACAUGCAAGUCGAACGGCAGCACAGUAAGAGCUUGCUCUUACGGGUGGCGAGUGGCGGACGGGUGAGGAAUACAUCGGAAUCUACUUUUUCGUGGGGGAUAACGUAGGGAAACUUACGCUAAUGCCGCAUACGACCUACGGGUGAAAGCAGGGGAUCUUCGGACCUUGCGCGAUUGAAUGAGCCGAUGUCGGAUUAGCUAGUUGGCGGGGUAAAGGCCCACCAAGGCGACGAUCCGUAGCUGGUCUGAGAGGAUGAUCAGCCACACUGGAACUGAGACACGGUCCAGACUCCUACGGGAGGCAGCAGUGGGGAAUAUUGGACAAUGGGCGCAAGCCUGAUCCAGCCAUACCGCGUGGGUGAAGAAGGCCUUCGGGUUGUAAAGCCCUUUUGUUGGGAAAGAACAGCAGCAGGUUAAUACCCCGCUGUUCUGACGGUACCCAAAGAAUAAGCACCGGCUAACUUCGUG
rnacentral:rRNA from 1 species